GUUUGCGACUUUGAUUGACUUCGAUGAAGCUUCGACAAACCCAGGGUUGUCUGAUCAUUGUGGCCUGUUUCCGAGAGAUUUUUGUACUUGAGAGGUUAAAUGGGUUGUGCUGGAUCGACACAGUCGCAAGGAGAAGGUAUAAACAAUUCUGUUGCUGGUUACAGGAAAGAAGAGCUCUUGAAGAGAAUCUCCAGAAAAAACAGCAACUCUAAAUCAUCACCAAGAACAGCUGAGAAAAAGAGCAAUGAUGGACUCAAUAGAUGAUUCCUCCUAAACGAGAGAUGAGAGUUUCAAGGAGUGAAUCUUGUUAGUUAAUGUUAGAUUUGUAACUAGAAUUGUAACAUUUUCUGAUUCUUUUUUUUUCGUUAAAUUGAUGGUUAUUUAAACAAUGUUAGCUUGUCAACAAGGCUGAAGAAGUAUAAUGUACAAAAACCUAGUUUAAC